rnacentral:rRNA from 1 species
GAUGAACGCUGGCGGCGUGCCUAAUACAUGCAAGUCGAGCGAACGGACGAGAAGCUUGCUUCUCUGAUGUUAGCGGCGGACGGGGGAGUAACACGUGGAUAACCUACCUAUAAGACUGGGAUAACUUCGGGAAACCGUAGCUAAUACCGGAUAAUAUUUUGAACCGCAUGGUUCAAAAGUGAAAGACGGUCUUUCUGUCACUUAUAGAUGGAUCCGCGCUGCAUUAGCUAGUUGGUAAGGUAACGGCUUACCAAGGCAACGAUGCAUAGCCGACCUGAGAGGGUGGUCGGCCACACUGGAACUGAGACACGGUCCAGACUCCUACGGGAGGCAGCAGUAGGGAAUCUUCCGCAAUGGGCGAAAGCCUGACGGAGCAACGCCGCGUGAGUGAUGAAGGUCUUCGGAUCGUAAAACUCUGUUAUUAGGGAAGAACAUAUGUGUAAGUAACUGUGCACAUCUUGACGGUACCUAAUCAGAGAGCCACGGCUAACUACGUG